rnacentral:rRNA from 1 species
AGUGAACGCUGGCGGUAGGCCUAACACAUGCAAGUCGAACGGCAGCACAGUAAGAGCUUGCUCUUACGGGUGGCGAGUGGCGGACGGGUGAGGAAUACAUCGGAAUCUACUUUUUCGUGGGGGAUAACGUAGGGAAACUUACGCUAAUACCGCAUACGACCUACGGGUGAAAGCAGGGGAUCUUCGGACCUUGCGCGAUUGAAUGAGCCGAUGUCGGAUUAGCUAGUUGGCGGGGUAAAGGCCCACCAAGGCGACGAUCCGUAGCUGGUCUGAGAGGAUGAUCAGCCACACUGGAGCUGAGACACGGUCCAGACUCCUACGGGAGGCAGCAGUGGGGAAUAUUGGACAAUGGGCGCAAGCCUGAUCCAGCCAUACCGCGUGGGUGAAGAAGGCCUUCUGGUUGUAAAGCCCUUUUGUUGGGAAAGAAAAGCAGCAGGUUAAUACCCCGCUGUUCUGACGGUACCCAAAGAAUAAGCACCGGCUAACUUCGUG